rnacentral:rRNA from 1 species
UACGGAGGGUGCAAGCGUUAAUCGGAAUUACUGGGCGUAAAGCGUGCGCAGGCGGUUUUGUAAGUCAGGCGUGAAAUUCCCGGGCUCAACCUGGGGCUGCGCUUGAUACUGAUUGGCUUGAAUGCGGGAGAGGAUAGUGGAAUUCCCAGUGUAGAGGUGAAAUUCGUAGAUAUUGGGAAGAACACCAGUGGCGAAGGCGGCUAUCUGGCCCGUUAUUGACGCUGAGGCGCGAAAGCGUGGGGAGCAAACAGG